rnacentral:rRNA from 1 species
GAUGAACGCUGGCGGCGUGCCUAAUACAUGCAAGUCGGGCGAACAGAUGAGGAGCUUGCUCCUCUGACGUUAGCGGCGGACGGGUGAGUAACACGUGGAUAACCUACCUAUAAGACUGGGAUAACUUCGGGAAACCGGAGCUAAUACCGGAUAAUAUAUUGAACCGCAUGGUUCAAUAGUGAAAGACGGUUUUGCUGUCACUUAUAGAUGGAUCCGCGCCGCAUUAGCUAGUUGGUAAGGUAACGGCUUACCAAGGCAACGAUGCGUAGCCGACCUGAGAGGGUGAUCGGCCACACUGGAACUGAGACACGGUCCAGACUCCUACGGGAGGCAGCAGUAGGGAAUCUUCCGCAAUGGGCGAAAGCUUGACGGAGCAACGCCGCGUGAGUGAUGAAGGUCUUCGGAUCGUAAAACUCUGUUAUUAGGGAAGAACAAAUGUGUAAGUAACUAUGCACGUCUUGACGGUACCUAAUCAGAAAGCCACGGCUAACUACGUG